rnacentral:rRNA from 1 species
UACGAAGGGGGCUAGCGUUGUUCGGAAUUACUGGGCGUAAAGCGUGCGUAGACGGUUAUUUAAGUCGGGUGUGAAAGCCCCGGGCUCAACCUGGGAAUUGCAUUCGAGACUGAAUAGCUAGGGUACGGUAGAGGGAAGUGGAAUUUCCGGUGUAGCGGUGAAAUGCGUAGAUAUCGGAAGGAACAUCAGUGGCGAAAGCGACUUCCUGGACCAGUACCGACGUUCAGGCACGAAAGCGUGGGGAGCAAACAGG